UACGUAGGCAGCAAGCGUUGUUCGGAGUUACUGGGCGUAAAGAGUCUGUAGGCGGUGCUCUAAGUUUGGUGUGAAAUCUCCCGGCUUAACCGGGAGGGUGCGCCGAAGACUGGGGUGCUGGAGUCUGGGAGAGGAAAGCGGAAUUCCUGGUGUAGCGGUGAAAUGCGUAGAUAUCAGGAGGAACACCGGUGGUGUAGACGGCUUUCUGGACCAGUACUGACGCUGAGAGACGAAAGCGUGGGGGAGCAAACAGG
rnacentral:rRNA from 1 species